UACGUAGGGGGCAAGCGUUGUCCGGAUUUAUUGGGUUUAAAGGGUGCGUAGGCGGCCCUGUAAGUCAGUGCUGAAAUAUCCCAGCUUAACUGGGAGGGUGGCAUUGAUACUGCGGGGCUAGAGUACAGAUGAGGUAGGCGGAAUUGACGGUGUAGCGGUGAAAUGCUUAGAUAUCGUCAAGAACACCUAUAGCGAAGGCAGCUUACUAGUCUGUAACUGACGCUGAGGCACGAAAGUGUGGGGAUCAAACAGG
rnacentral:rRNA from 1 species